rnacentral:tRNA from 1 species
GGUUUAUUGUUUUGGAAACACAUGACUUUGAAAGUCAUCAAAAGACGUUCGAUUCGUCUAUUUACCU